GUGUUUUUUCCAGCAACCUACAUACUGAAAUUGGAAUGAUACAGAGAAAGAUUUGCAUGGCCCCUCUACAAAGGCAUGUACAUUUAUAAAACAGUCUUCAUAUUU
ensembl:snRNA U6 U6 spliceosomal RNA